ACUCCUACGGGAGGCAGCAGUGGGGAAUUUUGGACAAUGGGCGCAAGCCUGAUCCAGCAAUGCCGCGUGCAGGAAGAAGGCCUUCGGGUUGUAAACUGCUUUUGUCAGGGAAGAAAUCUUCUGGGCUAAUACCCCGGGAGGAUGACGGUACCUGAAGAAUAAGCACCGGCUAACUACGUGCCAGCAGCCGCGGUAAUACGUAGGGUGCGAGCGUUAAUCGGAAUUACUGGGCGUAAAGCGUGCGCAGGCGGCUUUGCAAGACAGAUGUGAAAUCCCCGGGCUCAACCUGGGAACUGCAUUUGUGACUGCAAGGCUAGAGUACGGCAGAGGGGGAUGGAAUUCCGCGUGUAGCAGUGAAAUGCGUAGAUAUGCGGAGGAACACCAAUGGCGAAGGCAAUCCCCUGGGCCUGUACUGACGCUCAUGCACGAAAGCGUGGGGAGCAAACAGGAUUAGAUACCCUGGUAGUCCACGCCCUAAACGAUGUCAACUGGUUGUUGGGUCUUCACUGACUCAGUAACGAAGCUAACGCGUGAAGUUGACCGCCUGGGGAGUACGGCCGCAAGGUUGAAACUGAAAGGAAUUGACGG
rnacentral:rRNA from 1 species